rnacentral:rRNA from 1 species
AAAUUGAAGAGUUUGAUCAUGGCUCAGAUUGAACGCUGGCGGCAGGCCUAACACAUGCAAGUCGAACGGUAACAGGAAGAAGCUUGCUUCUUUGCUGACGAGUGGCGGACGGGUGAGUAAUGUCUGGGAAACUGCCUGAUGGAGGGGGAUAACUACUGGAAACGGUAGCUAAUACCGCAUAACGUCGCAAGACCAAAGAGGGGGACCUUCGGGCCUCUUGCCAUCGGAUGUGCCCAGAUGGGAUUAGCUAGUAGGUGGGGUAACGGCUCACCUAGGCGACGAUCCCUAGCUGGUCUGAGAGGAUGACCAGCCACACUGGAACUGAGACACGGUCCAGACUCCUACGGGAGGCAGCAGUGGGGAAUAUUGCACAAUGGGCGCAAGCCUGAUGCAGUCAUGCCGCGUGUAUGAAGAAGGCCUUCGGGUUGUAAAGUACUUUCAGCGGGGAGGAAGGG